AUGGUCUUGUUCAUUGUCCUGAUUGUGGUCAUGGUUUUGGUCUUGUUCAUCGCCUUGAUCGUGGUCAUGGUCUUGGUCUUGUUCAUGGUCUUGAUUGUGGUCUUGAUCCUGGUCAUGAUCGUGGUCUUGUUCAUGGUCUUGAUCGUGGCCUUGAUCGUGGUCAUGAUUUUGGUCUCGCUCAUCAUCUUGAUCGUGGUCAUGGUCUUGGUCUUGUUCAUGGUCUUGAUCGUGGUUAUGGUCUUGGUCUUGUUCAUGGUCUUGAUCGUGGUCUUGAUCAUGGUCCUUGUCAUGAUGUUUGUCUCUGUGCUGUUUGUGUCUGUGCUGCUUGUUUCUGUGCUGUUGGUCAUGGUCCUGUUCGUGAUCACGGUUGUGAUUUUGAUCAGGGUCCUUGCCAUGAUGUUUGUGUCUGUGAUGUUUGUGACUGUGCUGCUUGUGUCUGUGCUGUUGGUCAUGGUCAAGGUCAUGUUCGUGAUAAUGGUCGUGAUCUUGAUCAUGGUCCUUGUCAUGAUAUUUGUGUCUGUGCUGUUUGUGUCUGUACUGCUUGUGUCUGUGCUGUUGGUCAUGGUCUUGGCCAUGGUCAUGUUCGUGAUCAUGGUCGUGAUCUUGAUCAUGGUCCUUGUCAUGAUGUUUGUGUCUGUGCUGUUUGUGUCUGUGCUGCUUGUGUCUGUGCUGUUGGUCAUGGUCAUGGUCAUGUUCGUGAUCAUGGUCUUGAUCUUGAUCAUGGUCCUUGUCAUGAUGUUUGUGUCUCUGCUGUUGGUCAUGGUCUUGGUCUUUAUCAUGGUCAUGAUCGUGGUCUUGAUAGUGAUCCUCUUCAUGAUGUUUGUAUCUGUGCUGUUUGUGUCUGUGCUGCUUGUGUCUGUGCUGUUGGUCAUGGUCUUGGUCAUGGUCAUGCUCGUGAUCAAGGUCGUGAUCUUGAUCAUGGUCCUUUUCAUGAUGUUUGUGUCUGUGCUGUUUAUGUCUGUGCUGCUUGUGUCUGUGCUGUUGGUCAUGGACUUGGUCAUGGUCAUGUUCGUGAUCAUGGUCGUGAUCUUGACCAUGGUCCUUUUCAUGAUGUUUGUGUCUGUGCUGUUGGUCAUGGUCUUGGUCAUGGUCAUGGUCAUGUUCGUGAUCAUGGUGGUGAUCUUGAUCAUGGUCUUGAUCUUUGUCAUGGCCGUGGUCGUGGUCUUGAUCUUGGUCUUGAUCAUGGUCGUGGUCUUGUUCCUGGUCUUGAUCGUGGUCAUGGUCUUGUUCAUCGUCUUGAUCGUGGUCAUGGUCUUGUUCAUGGUCUUGAUCGUGGUCAUGGUCGUGGUCUUGUUCAUGGUCAUGAUGUUGGUCUUGAUCAUGCUCAGGGUCCUGGUCCUGUUCAUGGUCUUGAUUGUGGUCAUAGUCUUGGUCUUGUUCAUGGUCUUGAUCGUGGUCAUGGUCGUGGAGUUGAUCAUGGUCUCGUUCAUGGUCUUGAUCGUGGUCAUGGCCGUGGUCGUGGUCUUGAUCUUGGUCUUGAUCAUGGUCGUGGUCCUGUUCCUGGUCUUGAUCGUGGUCAUGGUCUUGUUCAUCGUCUUGAUCGUGGUCAUGGUCGUGUUCUUGUUCAUGGUCUUGAUCGUGGUCAUGGUCGUGGAGUUGAUCAUGAUCUUGAUCAUGGUCAUGGUCGUGGUCUUGUUCAUGGUCUUGAUCGUGGUCUGUGGUCUUGAUCGUGGUCAUGGCUGUUGUCGUGGUCUUGUUCAUGGUCUUGUUCAUUGUCCUGAUCGUGGUCAUGGUCUUGGUCUUGUUAAUCGUCUUGAUCGUGUUCAUGGUCUGGGUCUUGUUCAUCGAUCGUGGUCAUGA
rnacentral:lncRNA from 1 species